rnacentral:tRNA from 1 species
GCGCCCGUAGCUCAACUGGAUAGAGCAUUUGACUACGAAUCAAAAGGCUAGGAGUUCGAAUCUCUUCGGGCGCGCCA